AUGAAACGAAACAAAACGAGAAAACAAGGAUUAAGGCUCACCUGCCAGAGUCGCUCCGGCAACUCUUCUGCUGUGAUAACGACGAGAAGACCAAAUAUAUAUAUUCAGAAGAAUGGAGAGAGAAUCGUGAAAGGAGGAUCCAUCUUAGCCUUUGGUUGUGAGAGAGUAAGUAAAAAAAUUGGAAAAGUUGGAAAUGGUUAUAAUGUUGGAAACUGUUAUGGACAGUUAGUAUGGUCAUGGGCAAUGCGAAUCUGGGCAACAUGUUUUGUUUUAGCAGCAACUUUGGAUUUUUUGGAUAUUGAUGGAACAAUAGUUAAAGGAAUGUCCUCAUGA